CCUACGGGUGGCAGCAGUGAGGAAUAUUGGUCAAUGGACGAGAGUCUGAACCAGCCAAGUAGCGUGAAGGAUGACUGCCCUAUGGGUUGUAAACUUCUUUUAUAAAGGAAUAAAACGAGGCACGUGUGCCUUUUUGCAUGUACUUUAUGAAUAAGGAUCGGCUAACUCCGUGCCAGCAGCCGAGGUAAUACGGAGGAUCCGAGCGUUAUCCGGAUUUAUUGGGUUUAAAGGGAGCGUAGAAGGGUUGUUAAGGCCGUUGGGAAAGUUUGCGGCUCAACCGUAAAAUUCCCAUUGAGACUGGCAUUCUUGCGUACAGUUGCGGUAGGCGCACUUCGUGUUGUCGCG
rnacentral:rRNA from 1 species